rnacentral:lncRNA from 1 species
CCAAGUCUUCCCAGACAAAGCUGCUUGGGAAUACCACACAGAUAUUCUGUUAUGCUUCUGAAACAAGAAAGAACAGACAUUGCCUUAAAAGAGAAUUAAAAAUAUCCAAUGCCUGAAUGCUGCCUGGGCCUUCACCCAGUCCUCACACUCUCGCUGGCUGCUGUUAUCAUGAAUGGCACUAAUCAGUUCCAGGAAGUCUCUACAACAAGCAUUAUGUCACAUAUGGUUACAUCAUUCCCUCUAACCUCUAGGGCUUCCUGUUGACAUCUCUGGAGCUCUUCUACUACCAAAUGGUAUUAGAAGAAAUGCCAAGCUGUAUUUUUAUCCAUUUCUGUCUGCCAAAAGGAAUUCAAAUGUUUCCCAUUUGCAGGUUUUACCUGCUGGGUCUCAUCUUUGCUUCUUAAAAUGAGCAAACCUUAGUGAGCCUUCUCAGGGUCUCUCCAGAUGUUUGCCUAAAGGAUGGGAAUGCUGCUGUUGACUUAUUUUCUACAAUCAAAACAGAAAAAGGAGUAGGAGGGAAAAGUCUACACUCUGGGUUUUGCUCUGCAGUGUUCGUUUCUCUGAUACAGCAUCUGCACUACGAAAUUCACCCCGAAUGGACACUCAGAUGUUUUUACUUCCAGCAGAGAGGACACAACUCUCAAGCUGAAUUAGGCCAUUUGGAGAGGUUUACCAAAAUCUCCAUGGGUUACAGACGCAAGACUUUUCUCUCAAACUGGUCUGGACUGAGCACUUAGUGUGCAGUAACAUGCGAACUCUGACCACAUCACCGGUGUGAAAUUGCUGAUUAACCUUUUGACUCUGACAAUUGGGACUUCUCUCAACACCAACUGGUAAUGCAGAAGACCAUUAGUAGUUAAUAUUGGGACAUCCCAGCUCCAGAUGUCAAAAGGUUAAUGAAAAAUCAAGUAUCUUGCUUUUGCUGGGGAACUUGGAAACCUUCCCCCCAAAGCAGUUAAUUUUUUCUGAUAAAUAAGCCAGACUGCUUGAGCUGAGAAAGACGGGUGUUUUGCUAAUGUGUACAGCUGUUAAUUGAAAAAGAUUUGGGUAUGCUUGUUCUUUUGGAUGUAGAUAAAAGAGAGAUUUGUUGGCGAACUUAGUUAGUCUUGAACACCCCUUUGUUCAAAUACACUACAUAAUAAUAACGCUUUGUUCUUUCUGUAACAGCCAUGGAGGGAUUUUGAGUAGAAUACUCAUUUUCUUUAAGUCAUAUCUGCCAGUAAUCAUUCCUGGCUUAAGACCAGCUGCCAUUUAUGUGUUUUAUGAAAAUAUAACAGUUUUACACUCAAAACUAUUUUCUUUUUAGGUAAAAGCUUCAGCACAAGCUGGUUCCCUGUAUCUACCAUAAAUGCUAUUUAUCGCAGAUUUUGGUCUUUAAAACAGAAAGAUAAUGUUAAAACAUUUUGAUUACCCUUUCCUUGCUAUCAUUCACAACCCAUCUUUUCUAAUUAUGGUAUUAGGACAUUUACAUAACCGGGAAAAGGGUCCUUUAACUACAUUUCUAUUAUGUUUGGCACUUCUGUGAAAGGAUAUUAUAUUCAUGUGCAUUAGAGAUUGCUUAUAAAAGAUCAAGACAAUAAUAGCAGAUCAGACGAUAAAGGUUCCCUUUUCUCCUCCCAGACAGGCUGUCUCUGACAGAAGAAUACAGUUCAUCAAAAGUGUCUGCAGGUUGUCAAACUCAGUGAGAUUUGGGGACACUCGGAGGCUGUCAUGGCCAACAAGAAGAUUUUCUGUAGGGUUCUGCCAUCAUUCACCCUCAGGAAAUAAUCACUCACUACAUUCUGCAUGCUCUCAUGAUAGAGCUCUAUUUGAGAGAAAAGAGCCAUUUUAUCAAAGGACAAUAUAUCCCUUCUCUUGGUCCAUGUAGCUUCCAUUAUCAGACCAUAAUAAAUCAUAUUUAUGUUCUCAGUUAAUAAGACUGAUUACAAUGCAGGUUACAGGCAUGGGAAAAGAAAAUCAGGUGAAAAGAUGUUUUAAUGAAAAUAUGAUAAGCAAACAGCUUCUUGUGAACAUUUCAGGCUGUUAUUUGUAAUGAUCACAGGCAAUUUUUGAUACAUCUUCUUUAGCAAUGGUUUAAGCUGCAUAAAUUGGCUUGCCACUUUAUACGUUGAAAUAGGAAGAAUCCCGGUGUCCUUCUUAUGUUGUCUAGAAUCAUUAUAUACAUUAUAAGCAUAAAAUGAGUUUAAUGUAUGUGCUUUGAAAAGAAGGGGAAAACAGAAAAUCAGGGAAGACUGAUUUUAAUGCUGCUCAGAAUGAUUUUGAAAUUUUCUACUCAUCUUUGUUACUAACGGUGCAUUUUCCAUGAAAUUUAGGAAUGACAUGUACUGCUUUCAUCUCCUUAAAAUUAAUAUACUGUGCUCUCUGUUUUUCUCAAUUUCUUCAAAGUUCUUCUUAGAGCACUGCGCAAAGAGACAGAGAGAAAUUCUCCACUCGAAGCAUAUCUGCUGUUAAUGCUGAGGGGAGUUAAGUAUCUGCUUCUAUAGGAGAAUAUACCCCAGUGUUCCUGAAGGGCACCCUGUUAAUAUGGUGCAAGAAUGUCUAACUCUGGCACAUGUAAUGCAUUCAAGGGCCAACUUCCACUGAAUUUUUUUAAGUGAUUAAGGCAGU